rnacentral:lncRNA from 1 species
UGUAUUGUCACUUUCUUUUUCAUUCUUUGGAUUCUGGUUAAUUUUAGAGGAUUAUAGGGUGAAUCUUUAAUGUUACUGAGUUAGUUUAAUAUUGAUCACAUAUGAUUCCACAAGUAGUCCUGACCCACCUCCAUACUUUGAUGACUGACUAAAAAUGUUUUCAUGUAUGUAAAUAUGUGAAUAAAAACACUGUAGGAAAAUAACGAACCUGUGGAUUUUAACAUGAACAUUAUCUCUCCCCUCACACACCCUUACAUCCAAUAUUGACUGAACAAUUCCGCAUAAAGCGACUGUAAAUAUUCCCUGUAGCAAUGGAGACUUGCAGACUAACAGUGACUGGAAUUUCCUGAAUAUGCCUUCAGAUUAAAUUCUACAAAUGAUCUCCAUCUCAAACUGUUUUCUAAAGGGCUACAGUUUCAGUGUACUUGAAGAAUAAAUAAUGAUUUUGAUUAGAAAGGCUAGACUAGUAACACAAAAAACGUGGCAUUCCACUGUUUCUGUACGCGGUACUUAAAUGUUUAAAAACUGGUUUAUUUUGAAGGUAAGAACUCCGGAAGAACUCCCGAGACUCAAGCCACAGUUUGAUUGGAAGGAUUCAGGACAUCCGCGGAUCCUACAGUAUUGUGAGACGCGGCCUCGAUGGAAUUAACAUUUAAUAAUAAUGCAAAAUAUAACGUGAUAGUUUUCACUUCGGGGUUUAUAUUUAGUUAGUUUACCUUGUUUCAGUCUGUGUCGGCGGAGACCGAACUGAACCAAAGGGCAGUUUGUUGGUUCAGAGCUGCAGGUGUUGACGGCUGGGCUCACUAACAUAACAGGGUUAAUUAAUCAAUCGACCUAGAUUCAUCUGAUUGAGAUGCAGAGGGUCAGUGAGGCCUGCAGCCUGGAUGAUGACAUGGUGGAUGGCGACCUGGGUGAUGGGAUAGGAGCCAGAGCAGCAUCUAGUUUCACUGACAAGAGAAGCCAAAGCUUUGCCAGCUUGUCUGAGACCCUGUUCAGGUCCAACAGCCAUCCAGGAGAACAGGUCUGGAUUACUGGAUUGAGAACAACAGAGACCCAGCAAAGAGUGCGCUGGGCGAUUCCACCUUGUGGUGAUUGA